rnacentral:RNase_P_RNA from 1 species
UGGCGUGGGGGUUUCGUCGCUGCCCUCCUUUGGAGGGGAGAGGAAAGUCCGAGCAACACAGAGCACCGUGCUUUCUAACGGAAAGUUGUCGGCAACGGCAAGGUUGAAGGUAACAGAAAAUAACCGCCCGCAAGGGUAAGGGUGAAAAGGCGGGGUAAGAGCCCACCGCCCAUGUGGCAACACAUUGGGGACAGUACUACCGACGGGUUGCAAGCUCAAGUAUAUCGACAGUAUGUAGGGUUGCUCGCCCGAUGUCGAGGGGUAGAACGCUAUUUUAGCCUACGCGAGAGCGCAGUGCAUAGAUUAAUGACUAAAACCGCCCAUCGGAGAGGAGGAGGCUCAGUGUAGCGCUUCCGACGGUGACAAGCGGUACAGAACUC